CGGUUAUGGAUGAAAGACGAUUUUGCCCCUCCGUUCUGUUUCUUACUUUCUUGCUUCGACACCUGGGGGUGCCGCUCAGUGCGUGCUGUCUCUUCCUUCGACACCUGGGUGCUGGUGCUAUCGUGUCUUUGCUACUUCACUCCACAAAGAGGGGUUUAGGGUUGUCGUAUUGGGUUUGUCAUCAACAAGGAGAAGGAAGGCGAUUCUGGGUUAUUGGCUCAACCUUGAGGUGGAGGUGCGUUGAGAAAAGCAGGAGAGCUGCAGCUUUUGGUAUUUGAGUUGUGGCCUGAAACAUCCGAUUCCAGAGUCAUUGUUCAUGCAUGUAGACAUAGAUUGCUUCUACUUUCAAGGUUUCACCUGCUACUAUCAUUGUUGCUGCAAUUGAUUUAUCUGUUGUAAAAAAUUGGUCUGCAAGGUCUGAAAAAAAGGAGAAGCUUGAAUCUGUCAAUCAAGAUUGGAAGAAUUUUUGGGUCUUGAUUUUUGCUCAAGUUGUAUCUAGCUGGAGCUAUCGGUGGUUCAGUCUUUUACUUGGAGCACCAUACCUGGAUGUACUUACCGCCAGAGGGAAAGAUCUAAGGCAUGCAUCACCAGUUCGAUGGAGUUCGGUUCUAUUAAGCAUCAUAGACAUUUCUGCUCCUAGAUUGCAUCAACAGGUAAUGGAGCACCUGGAUGGAAACAACCACAGUCAGCUUUACAAUGUCAAGAAGGUGCUUUGCUUGCUCAUAUCAACUCAACCAAUCAACUGGGUUUUGGGACCUGAAUGAGUGGCCUGUGCUUAAACCCCUUCCAUCUUAUGGUACAAGAACAAAUGCAGCAGCUGGAAGGUUCCAAGUUAUCAUAAGAAGAGGCAGAGAAUAGAAAGUCUUGCCUAUUCCAUGACCUAAAUGAUGGCACAUAAGAUCUUAUGGGAAGAAAAUAUAUCCUUCUGACAAUAAGUCAUGAUUGCCUCCAGUGCUAUGGUCCUUAAUUAUUGAAAGCAUUGCACAAACAAAUCGCAGUGUCUACAGCUGAGAUACAGAAUGGUACUGACGUAGAGGUUUAUGGAUCACCAACUGAAAGAGGAAUUCUACACUUGAGGAAUUAAGAUUCUAUUCAAUCUCGAGGAUCAGAGCUCUUUCCAAUGUUCAAUCUAUCCAUAAAAGUAUUCUGCAGAGUCUCAAGCAACAGCAUUUGACACAGUUUCAGAUAACUACAACUUCAAUACACUUCAUGCAAGUGGCUUUCUAUGGACUAUCAGUGACCUCAACAACAAUCUGGAUCAACAUUAUCUUCUCAUUAGGUUUGAUUUCAAGUUAAUGAUUAUGGUGGAGAAAUUCGUGUAACGUGUUUUAAUCAUGCAGCCAAAAAAUUCAUGUAUCUGACAAAAACAAUAUAAAUAUUCUGAUAUGUACUGUUAUAAGAUCACCUUACCUAAAUUGUAAAGUUCGACAAAAACAAUCAAUGAUCAAAUCAAUCCUGCAGCAAAGCGCGGGCAACGUUUCUAGUUAA